GGGGUAGGGUGUCCGACCCCAACUGUGGACCUACUUAAAAACAAAACUAAGCCGCACAACACCCUGGAAUUUUUCUCAUGUUGACCUCAGCUACCCAGCUUUCGCUUUGCACUUAGUGCAGACACAAUUUAUGCGUAAAACAUUUUUUAUUAACUUUUCUGUAAGGGUGGGGUAGGGUGUCCGACCCCAACUGUGGACCUACUUAAAAACAAAACUAAGCCGAACAACAACCUGGAUUUUUUCUCAUGUUGACCUCAGCUAUCCAGCUCCAUUUCCACCUAGUGCGGACAAAAAUUUUGACGUACAACAUAUUUUUAUUGACUGUUCUGUAAGGGUGGGGUAGGGUGUCCGACCCCAACUGUGGACCUACUUAAAAACAAAACUAAGCCGAAAAACACCCUGGAUUUUUUUCUCAAGUAUACCUGAGCUACUUAGCUUCCCUUUGCACGUAGUGCAGACACAAGUAUUGCCGUAGAACAUUUUUAAUUAACUUUUCUGUGUCAGACCCCAACUGUGGACCAACUUAAAAACAUAACUAAGCCGAACAACACCUUGGAUUUUUUCUCAAGUAGACCUUAGCCGCUUUGCAUACCUUUGUAACUAGUGCAGACAAAAGUGUUGCCAUAGAACAUUUUUUAUUAACUUUUCUGUAAGGGUGGGAUAGGGUGUCCGAACCCAACUUUGGACCUAGUAAACAAAAAAAAUAAGCCUGACAACACCCUGGAUUUUUUAUCAAGUAGACAUCAGCUACCCAGCUUCCCUUUGCACAUAGGGCAGUCAAAAGUAUUGCCGUAGAAUAAUUUUGUAUUACCUUUUCUGUAAGGGUGGAUAGGAUGUCCGACCCAAACUUUGGACCUAGUUUAAAAUAAAAAUUAAGCCGAACAACACCCUGAAUUUUUUAUCAAGUAACAUCAGCUACUAAGCUUCUUUUUGCACCUAGUGCGGACAAAAUUAUUGCCGUAGAACAUUUUUAAUUAACUUUUCUGUUAGGGUGCGUUAGGGUGUCCGACCGAACUGUGGACCUAUUAUACAGUAUUUAUAACAGCGCAUUAUAUAAUAUUAAAAUUACCCUAAGCGCUUUACAUAUAUUUCCAUAUACAUAUAUAAGUAUUAACAAUAAAAUAUAAAAGCCCAUGUUUAAAACUUUUAAAACAAAAAAGAUUUGAAAAAUAUAGCAAUGAUACAACAAUAAAAUUUAUAUAAAAUGGGCAUGAUAAAAUUAAGGAGAUAUUGAAUCGGUACCAAUAGAAGUAAGUUAAAACUUCAAAAUAUUUGCUUAAAAAAAUCUAAAAUAACCAAUAAAAGUAUACUUAGUUAAAAAUUCAAAAAACAUAAAAAGUAAUAUCUUAAAAAUUCAAUAUUACAAUGAUGUAGAAAUAUUUUAAGAACUAAUUAAAAGCAUGUCUGAAUAAAUGAGUUUUUAAAUUUUUCUUAAAACAAAACUAAGGCGAACAACACCCUGGAUUUUUUCCCUAGUAGACCUUAGCUACUUUGCUUACCUUUGUAACUAGUGCAGACAAAAUGAUUGCCGUAGAACAUUUUUCAUUAAUUUUUCUGUAAGGGUGGGUUAGGGUGUCCGACCCCAACUGUUGACCUACUUUAAAACAAAACUAAGCCUAACAACACCCUGGAUUUUUUCUCAAGUAGACCUCCGCUACC
rnacentral:lncRNA from 1 species